GAUGAACGCUGGCGGCGUGCCUAAUACAUGCAAGUCGAGCGAAAAAACGAGGAGCUUGUGCUUCUGACGUUAGCGGCGCACGGGCGAGUAACAAGUGGAUAAGCUACCUCUAAGACUGGGAUGAUUACGGGAAACAGGAGACAAUAAUGGCUCAUAUAAUGAACCGCAUGGUUCAAUAGUGAAAGACGGUUUUGCCGUCACAUAUAGACCAAUCCGCGCCGCAUUAGCUAGUUGGUAAGGUGACGGCUUACCAAGGCAACGAUGCGUAGCCGAGCUGAGAGGGUGAUCGGCCACACUGGAACUGAGACACGGUCCAGACUCCUACGAGAGGCAGCAGUAGGGAAUCUUCCGCAAUGGGCGAAAGCCUGACGGAGCAACGCCGCGUGAGUGAUGAAGGUCUUCGGAUCGUAAAACUCUGUUAUUAGGGAAGAACAAAUGUGUAAGUAACUAUGCACGUCUUGACGGUACCUAAUCAGAAAGCCACGGCUAACCACGUG
rnacentral:rRNA from 1 species